UAACCUGCCCAAGAGAUCGGGAUAACACCUGGAAACAGAUGCUAAUACCGGAUAACAACAGAUGAUGCCUAUCAACUGUUUAAAAGAUGGUUCUGCUAUCACUCUUGGAUGGACCUGCGGUGCAUUAGCUAGUUGGUAGGGUAACGGCCUACCAAGGCUAUGAUGCAUAGCCGAUUUGAGAGACUGAUCGGCCACAUUGGGACUGAGACACGGCCCAAACUCCUACGGGAGGCAGCAGCC
rnacentral:rRNA from 1 species